rnacentral:rRNA from 1 species
GACGAACGCGGCGGCGUGCUUAACACAUGCAAGUCGAACGAAGAGCGAUGGAAGCUUGCUUCUAUCAAUCUUAGUGGCGAACGGGUGAGUAACGCGUAAUCAACCUGCCCUUCAGAGGGGGACAACAGUUGGAAACGACUGCUGAUACCGCAUACGAUCUAAUCUCGGCAUCGAGGAUAGAUGAAAGGUGGCCUCUACAUGUAAGCUAUCACUGAAGGAGGGGAUUGCGUCUGAUUAGCUAGUUGGAGGGGUAACGGCCCACCAAGGCGAUGAUCAGUAGCCGGUCUGAGAGGAUGAACGGCCACAUUGGGACUGAGACACGGCCCAGACUCCUACGGGAGGCAGCAGUGGGGAAUCUUCUGCAAUGGACGAAAGUCUGACGGAGCAACGCCGCGUGAGUGAUGACGGCCUUCGGGUUGUAAAGCUCUGUUAAUCGGGACGAAAGGCCUUC